ensembl:lncRNA PMS2P4 PMS1 homolog 2, mismatch repair system component pseudogene 4
CAGGAGGCGGGGCGCCUGUGGGAGUCGUGGAGGGAACUUUCCCAGGCCCCGAGGCGGAUCGGGUAUUGAGUCCAUGGAGCGAGCUGAGAGCUAGAGUACAGAACCUGCUAAGGCCAUCAAACCUAUCGAUCGGAAGUCAGUCCAUCAGAUUUGCUCUGGGCCGGUGGUACUGAGUCUAAGCACUGCGGUGAAGGAGUUAGUAGAAAACAGUCUGGAUGCUGGUGCCACCAAUAUUGCGAUGUCACCAUUUCUACCUGCCACGCAUCGGCGAAGGUUGGGACUCGACUGGUGUUUGAUCACGAUGGGAAAAUCAUCCAGAAAACCCCCUACCCCCACCCCAGAGGGACCACAGUCAGCGUGAAGCAGUUAUUUUCUACACUACCUGUGCACCAUAAGGAAUUUCAAAGGAAUAUUAAGAAGACGUGCCUGUUUCCCCUUCGCCUUCUGCCGUGAUUGUCAGUUUCCUGAGGCCUCCCCAGCCAUGCUUCCUGUACAGCCUGCAGAACUGUGAUCUCAGCCCUCCUCCAGGCUUCGAUUAUAACUUACAGGAUUGUGAUUCACACAUUUCAGUUUCCACCACAGGCCCCUCCAGACAUGUCCAUCUGCCUGCUGUGUUGACUUUUCCCUUUGGAGUCUUGAGGCAGCUACAAGCUUACUGACCAGAAAUGAACUCAAGCUCUCCCCGAAGCCUGGUCCUCUUCCAGGAUCAGCCAGCCUGGAAGAUGGCACUGUCAUCCACCCUGUUCUCAGGCCUGCCACCCAGGAGUCAACCUUAGCCCCAUCUAAUUGUCAGAGGCAUCUGAACCACAGCAACUCCAUCUUGAGUAGGGGAUGGGUAAAAUGAGGCUGAGACCUGCUGGGCUGCAUUCCCAGACAGCCAAGGCAUUAGCCACAGGAUAAGAUAGGCGGUCGGUACAAGACACAGGUCAUAAAGACCUUGCUGAUAAAACAGUUGGCAGUAAAGAAGCCAGCCAAAACCCACUAAAACCAAGAUGGCAACGAGAGUGACCUCUGGUCGUCCUCACUGCUACCCUCCCACCAGCACCAUGACAGUUUACAAAUGCCAUGGCAAUGUCAGAAAGUUACCCUAUAGGGUCUAAAAAGGGGAGGCAUGAAUAAUCUACCCCUUGUUUAGCAUAUCAUCAAGAAAUAACCAUAAAAAUAGGCAACCAGCAGCCCUCAGGGAUGCUCUGUCUAUGGAGUAGCCAUUCUUUUGUUCCUUUACUCUCUUAAUAAACUUGUUUUCACUUUAC